UACGAAGGGGGCUAGCGUUGCUCGGAAUCACUGGGCGUAAAGCGCACGUAGGCGGACUCUUAAGUCGGGGGUGAAAGCCCAGAGCUCAACUCUGGAACUGCCUUCGAAACUAGAGGACUUGGGUACUGGAGAGGUGAGUGGAAUUCCGAGUGUAGAGGUGAAAUUCGUAGAUAUUCGGAAGAACACCAGUGGCGAAGGCGACUCGCUGGCCAGUUACCGACGCUCAGGCGCGACAGCGUGGGGAGCAAACAGG
rnacentral:rRNA from 1 species